UACGUAGGGGCAAGCGUUGUCCGGAUUUACUGGGCGUAAAGAGCGCGCAGGCGGUCGAUCAAGUCGAGUGUGAAAGCCCCCCGGCUCAACUGGGGGAGGGUCAUUCGAUACUGGUCGACUCGAAGGCAGGAGAGGGUAGUGGAAUUCCCGGUGUAGUGGUGAAAUGCGUAGAUAUCGGGAGGAACACCAGUGGCGAAGGCGACUACCUGGCCUGUUCUGACGCUGAGGCGCGAAAGCUGAGGGGAGCAAAGCGGGG
rnacentral:rRNA from 1 species